rnacentral:rRNA from 1 species
GUAAGCGCCCUCCCGAAGGUUAAGCUACCUGCUUGUUGUGGACCCCACACCCAUGAGUCGAGCGGCAGCGGGAAAGUAGCUUGCUACUGUUGCCGGCGAGCAGCAUUCUGAUGAGUAAUUACUAGCGAUUCCGACUUCAUGGAGUCGACAGUUGGAAACGACUGCUAAUACCGCAUACGCCCUACGGGGGAAAGCAGGGUCUCGCGAGGUCUUGCGUCUUUGUAUAUGCCAUUGUAGCACGUGUGUAGUUGGUGAGGUAAUGGCUCACCAAGGCGACGAUCCCUAGCUGGUCUGAGAGGAUCACCAGUCUCCUUUGAGUUGAGACACGGUCAAAAAGGAUAAGGGUGGCAGCAGUGGGGGAUAUUGCACAAUGGGGGAAACCCUGAUGCAGCCAUGCCGCGUGUGUCUCACAGUUCCCGAAGUUGUAAAUCCAUCUCUGGAAAGUUCAAAGGUUGGCAACUAAUAGGUGAGGUCUGUGACGUUACUCGCAGAAGAAGCACAUGCUCACCGCUUGCCAGCACCCCCGUCAAUUCAGAGGGUUUGAGUUUUAAUCGGAAUUACUGGGCGUAAAGCGCACGCAGGCGGUUGGAUAAGUUAGCUCCGGAAGCCACGCGCUCAACCUGGGCACAACCUCCAAAUCUGUCCCGCUAGAGUCUUGUAGAGGGGGGUAGAAUUCCAGGUGUAGCGGUGAAAUGCGUUCGCACCUGAGCGAAUACCUUUGUCCAGGGGGCCGCCUUCGCCACCGGUUGACGCUCAGGUGCGAAAGCGUGGGGAGCAAACAGGAUUAGAUACCCUGGUAGUCAAGACUCUAAACGAUGUCGAUUUCGAAGCAGUUCCCUUGAGCCGUGGCUUCCGGAGCUAACGCGUUAAAUCGACCGCCUGGGGAGUACGGCCGCAAGGUUAACGCUUGCACGUAUUACCGCGGGCCCGCGCACGGAGUUGAGCCUGUGGUUUAAUUCGAUGCAACGCGAAGAACCUUACCUGGCCUUGACAUGUCUUCCUCCCCGCUGAAAGUGCGGGAGUACCCGAAGGCCUUCUUACACACAUGCUGCAUGGCUGUCGUCAGCUCGUGUCGUGAGAUGUUGGGUUAAGUCCCGCAAUAUUCCCCACUGCUGUCCUUUGUAGGCAGUCUGGACCGGUCUCAGUUCAAGGGAGACUGCCGGUGAUAAACCGGAGGAAGGUGGGGAUGACGUCAAGCCGUUACCCCACCUACAGCCAGGGCUAUCUGGGCACUCUGAUGGCAUGUACAGAGGGCUGCAAGCUAGCGAUAGUGAGCGAAUCCCAAAAAGCGCGUCGUAGCUACCGUUUGAGUCAGUUAUCCCCCUCCAUCAGGCAGUAAUUCCCAGAAAUCGCAAAUCAGAAUGCUGCGGGGAAUACGUGCCCGGGCCUUGUGCACACCGCCCGUCACACCAUGGGAGGGG